rnacentral:rRNA from 1 species
AGAACGAACGCUGGCGGCAUGCCUAACACAUGCAAGUCGAACGAGACCUUCGGGUCUAGUGGCGCACGGGUGCGUAACGCGUGGGAAUCUGCCCUUGGGUUCGGGAUAACAGUUGGAAACGACUGCUAAUACCGGAUGAUGACUUCGGUCCAAAGAUUUAUUGCCCAGGGAUGAGCCCGCGUAGGAUUAGCUAGUUGGUGAGGUAAAGGCUCACCAAGGCGACGAUCCUUAGCUGGUCUGAGAGGAUGAUCAGCCACACUGGGACUGAGACACGGCCCAGACUCCUACGGGAGGCAGCAGUGGGGAAUAUUGGACAAUGGGCGAAAGCCUGAUCCAGCAAUGCCGCGUGAGUGAUGAA